AUUAUUUUUGGUUGACACAUAGCAAAAUCGGGAGAGCCCAGAGGCUUCGGGAGAAAAAAAGAGAAGAGAGAGAAAGAAAAAGGAGAGGAGAGUUCUGGAGAAGGAGAGUAAGCUCGAGAGAGAGAGAGAGAGAAAACGAGAGCUCGGUGCUCUCAGAACCGAAACACGACUCGACCGAGGAAACCCAGCCAGAGCGCCGACCUCCGGCCACCGAUCGACGACGCAAGACCCCCAGUCCCUCCGACUAGUCGACGCCGUCGCGCCUGUGGCCUUGGAUCGCCCGUGCACGGGACGAGGAGGGCGACUCGACGGUGAAAAGUGGUGACUGCUCUGGCGAGUUUCCGCCAUUUCCGGCCACCGUCUGAGCUUCUUGUGCUUUUCCGACUAUCCUGGCCUUGGCUUCCACUUCGACUACUCCUGUAGACGAGGAAUCGAGAAGUUUUCUGGAUUGUAGAGCGAGAUCCGUCAGUUCAUCUCCAUUCCAGUUUCAACAGAGAGCUCGGGAAGCUGAGUUUGAAUGACUGAAGUGGGAUUCCGAUUUUCCGAGGUAUAAUCUCGAUCUGAUGUUACAAAUGGUACUCGGGGAUAAUCAGAUAUUCCACCCUAGACUCCAUUACCUUCGAUCCUUGUAUGGAAAAAUAUACUUACAAGUUCGAUCCUCAUCCAAGACCCGAGAUUUUCCACCCUAGACUCCAUUACCUUCGUCGCCUUCGUCUUCACAACUCGAGGACCUGAAAGAGAUGGAAUUUUUAUGGAAGGUCAAAUCUAAAGCUUCUAUGGAAGGUCAGACUAGAGAGUAGGUGAGGUUCUUGCUGAGAUCUGGAAGGAAAUAUGAGCAAGCUUUCAAAGCUAGUUGCAUUUGUGGAAGUCGUUCAGUUUGAUUUAUUGGCAUAACACCAAAAGCCAGAUUCUCCUUCAGGUCUCUCUCUCAAAACUGACUAGCCUGGAAUUAAGGCCACAUGCUAUUGAGAGUUGUUAUCUGUCAAAAUAUCAGGUUUGUAGAUUUUAUGGUUUCAUGAACGAGUAAUUUUAAUUUCCAAAUGCAUGUAUACCAAUUGUAACAGGAGACUAGUAAUAUGUGUUAUUUCAAAUUGCAAGUUACAACAAAGGCACACCAAAACGUGUGGUUGCAGCUGCACAAAAACAACACAAAAACCAAUAAGAAGUCUAUUGUCUUUUUGACAAUGGGACAACAGAAAAUUGUAGUCUGAAAGGCAAAACAACAACAUAAGUUAGUUGAAAGUAUUGGCUAAAGUGUAUAUCAAGCAUGGAAUACCAAGCAAUGAAGCAAAAUAUAUUUUCUUUCAUCAUGUAAAUUCAGCUAGCUAGGAAACUUUAUAGCAAUGACAUGUUACUUGGAUUCAAUAUCUGGUGGAUAUAUUGGAAUUUUAUUGAUGUAUCA